AGAGUGGAGGAACAAGAAUAGGUAAAUGAAGAUAGAAUGUGUGGAAUGAAGCUGCUUUGGCUACAGCCGCUGGAAAGAUUCAAUGGUAUUACAAAUACAAGAGAAAGAUAUUUUAUUGAAGAAGAUGAAACAAAAACAAAAGGAGCAAAACUGAGAAGAAGACUCAAGUCUUGUUACCAGACAAAAGGGAGCAGCUUUGGAAUGAUUUUGUUUGGAAACAUGGAUCAAGGAAGACCAGUUGGUGGGGAAAGAAGAGUGGCAGGGAGAAGGAGAAUGCGUGGAGGACAAAGGAGAGGAACGCCAAGAGCAGUGGUCUCUGAUGAGAUAAAGGCCUCAGUUAUUGACUAUGUUGUAAACCAUGAUCUCUCUUUGAGAGAGGCCGGUUUAAGGGUGCAAACAAAUCUGCAGCGUUCAACAGUUGCAUCAAUAGUACAAAUUUUCCAGCAAAACAACAGCAGGAUCCAAAGGUUGCCUCCAACAGACGGGGGAGGCAGAAUAUUUUCAGAUGCGUAGGAAAUUGCCAUCGUUGACAUGGUAAUUGGCAACAAUGCAAUAAAACUAUUUGGGACAGAGUGCUGGCAGACAAUAUCACUUUUGGAAAUGUGAAUACGGUCAGCACAAUGGCACUUGCCAGAGUCCUAGAGAAACAUAAAAUAAGAAUGAAGCAGUUGUACACUGUACUCUUUGAGAGAAAUGGUGAAUGUGUGAAAACUCCGGUAUCAAUAUGUCCAGGUAAGAUGUCUAUUCAAUAAGGGUACAUUCACAGCUAUGCAUAAUGUAUGAUUUAUUGUAUUUUAGAGAGUAAUGGUGAUGAAAGCCAUGCAAACUGCACAUACAGUGUGUGCAGCACAGUGCAAUGAUGGUUUACUGUUACACAAACCUCUCAUUGGCCCCUGCAAUACAGACAGGCUAAUUUCUUUUCGGUAUGACCUACAUAAUCGACUUGUGCCAGCGGAGGAGAGAGGAGUAAGAAACUCCCCUACCUUCGUUGUUAUGUGGGAUAAUGUGACAUUCCACCACUCUGCUGUUGGUUUGCUGGAUGUCAGUACUAUUCCAGCCUUUUUUGCUCUGCAUGGAGGUGGAAGGUUUAUGACCACCAUCCACAUGACCAGAUGUCCUUAUUGGAUGCCAUCAAUGCAGGGUGUGCAGACACUUCUGAAGACUGCCAGGGUUGGUUUAGACA